AACGAACGCUGGCGGCAUGCCUAACACAUGCAAGUCGAACGAAGCCUUCUGGCUUAGUGGCGCACGGGUGCGGAACGCGUGGGAAUCUGCCCUUUGGUUCGGAAUAACAUAUGGAAACGACUGCUAAUACCGGAUGAUGACGAAAGUCCAAAGAUUCAUCGCCAGAGGAUGAGCCCGCGUAGGAUUAGCUAGUGGGUGUGGUAAAGGCGCACCAAGGCGACGAUCCUUAGCUGGUCUGAGAGGAUGAUCAGCCACACUGGGACUGAGACACGGCACAGACUCCUACGGGAGGGAGGAGUGGGGUAUAUUGGAAAAUGGGCGAAAGCCUGAUCCAGCAAUGCCGCGUGAGUGAUGAAGGCCCUAGGGUUGUAAAGCUCUUUUACCCGGGAUGAUAAUGACAGUACCGGGAGAAUAAGCCCCGGCUAACUCCGUGCCAGCCGCCGCGGUAA
rnacentral:rRNA from 1 species